AAUAGAUACCCUGGUAGUCCACGCCGUAAACGGUGGGCACUAGGUGUGGGCAGCAUUCCACGUUGUCCGUGCCGUAGCUAACGCAUUAAGUGCCCCGCCUGGGGAGUACGGCCGCAAGGCUAAAACUCAAAGGAAUUGACGGGGGCCCGCACAAGCGGCGGAGCAUGUGGCUUAAUUCGACGCAACGCGAAGAACCUUACCAAGGCUUGACAUACACCGGAAACAUCCAGAGAUGGGUGCCCCCUUGUGGUCGGUGUACAGGUGGUGCAUGGCUGUCGUCAGCUCAUGUCGUGAGAUGUUGGGUUAAGUCCCGCAACGAGCGCAACCCUUGUCCCGUGUUGCCAGCAGGCCCUUGUGGUGCUGGGGACUCACGGGAGACCGGCCGGGGUCAACUCGGAGGAAGGUGGGGACGACGUCAAGUCAUCAUGCCCCUUAUGUCUUGGGCUGCACACGUGCUACAAUGGCCGGUACAAAGAGCUGCGAUACCGUGAGGUGGAGCGAAUCUACAAAAAGCCGGUCUCAGUUCGGAUUGGGGU
rnacentral:rRNA from 1 species